GCAGCGGUAGUUCAGUAGCAGAAUUCCCGUCUUCCACACGGGAGACCCAGGUUCAAUUCCCAGCCAGUGUA
rnacentral:tRNA from 1 species